rnacentral:rRNA from 1 species
UACCUGCAGCUCAAGUAGUGACCGCUAUUAUUGGGCCUAAAACGUUCGUAGCCGGUUUGGUAAAUGCCUGGGUAAAUAGUGUAGCUUAACUAUACGAAUUCCGGGUAGACUGCCAAACUUGAGACCGGGAGAGGCUAGAGGUACUCCUGGGGUAGAGGUGAAAUUCUGUAAUCCUGAGGGGACCACCAGUGGCGAAGGCGUCUAGCUAGAACGGGUCUGACGGUGAGGGACGAAGCCCUGGGGGCGCAAACCGGAUUAGAUACCCGGGUAGUCCAGGGUGUAAACGCUGCUUGCUUGAUGUUAGUUGGGCUCCGAGCCCAAUUAGUGUCGGAGAGAAGUUGUUAAGCAAGCUGCCUGGGAAGUACGAUCGCAAGAUUGAAACUUAAAGGAAUUGGCGGGGGAGCACAGCAACGGGUGGAGCGUGCGGUUU